CAUGGUCAACACUUGCUAUCAAGCAGCUGGCAAACGUUGGCCUAAUUUCAUUGCUGUUGAUUUCUACAAGGUGCUACAAAUUAUACUUGAAAAAAAAAAUAGCAUUUGAAUUGAAAGAAUAAUGCUAGUCACACAUCACCUCAAGUUUACACUACUAUUACACACAUACUCUGAUUUUGUCACUUAACACAGAAGUGUUAUGAGGUGUUUGAUGUUGAUGUGCACACCAAUCAUGUUAUUUAUACAACUAAUUUGUACAACAAGGUUAUACAACAAUAUCGAAUGCUUACCCAAGAAGGGAUGUUGUCAACUUUGUUGUACAAAAAAUAUUUUUUAUGUGCGCGCUGCGCACCAAACAUUGUUCAAAUUUUUAUUGUCUACUUUGAAUAAGAGAAUUGUGAUGUAUUGUUAAACAUAACCAAAUUCUAUACAUUGAUGUUUUAGAGAAGUGAUGGAGGAGGAGCUCCAGAAGCAGUAGAUGCUGCCAAUGGUCAUCUAGUAUGUGGGUGUAAAAACAUAGCCUCCUGCAAGGUAUGAACAAUUACUUUCACUGAUCCAUUACCCUGUUGUAAGUUUGCAUUAUAAUGAAUUUUGAUUUGUGCAGGAAAACAUGACUUUUGGAGUAUGUGAUUUAUUACCUGAGGCUGAAACAACUCCUCAUCAAGCACUACCACCACAUGCCUCCUUUGGCUUUCAAAAUUGCAAGCCAGUUG
rnacentral:lncRNA from 1 species